CCGGCUGCCUUAGGAUUGAGUCGGAUUCCACCAUCUCCGCCAACGAUGUGCUUCGUGCACGGUGUUGGAGUGGAGUCUCGUAUUAAAUGCCUCAGGAUUGAGACAGACUCCUGUUAAUCUGAUAAAGGCUAUUCAAUUUGUCAUCUCAUCUGCUAUUGUCUGGAUACUUGGUGAGUCGAGAAAAUUAGUACAAAAAAGUCGGGAUUUUAGAAGACUUGCUAUACAAGAAUCGACUAAUGUCAAACGCAAUGGAGGCUAACUUCCGUAAUUAUCUGUUGGUGCAAUUAGAGUUUCAACAAGGAUAACGCUGGAUCCGAGAUGCGUUACGCCAGUACGGGACUUUUACAAAUGGUUGUUGGUUCUUUCAUUACUGGAUGCAUAUAAGAAUCUACUGCAAGCUGCUCUGAAGGAGGUACCUGACCAGAUAAGUUACUUCAGGAAUCUGUUAUUCCUGUAAACCCAAGCUUGUUUGCUCUUCCCGAACAGAUCAGAAAAUUUCUUCAGAAAAUACAGCCCGGAAGAGCCCAAGGAAUUGAAUUUAACAUGUGCGUGUAAAGUGUCUCCAGUUCUAGUGCGUGUAAAGUGUCUCCAGUUCUAGUGCGUGUAAAGUGUCUCCAGUUCUAGUGCGUGUAAAGUGUCUCCAGUUCUAGUGCGUGUAAAGUGUUCUAAAUGGCGCCAUUUAAAACGAGAUAUCUGUAAAUG